AGCCUUGUAUGAAUAAGGGGGUACCAUCCUCCAAGGCUAAGUAUAACAUAUCUAGCGAUAGUGAAGAGUAACGUGAGUGAAAGGUGAAAAGUAAGUAGAUGACUAGUGAAAUAGAACCUGAACUAGUAAUCCUAUAAGCAGUUGGAGUUUUUAGUAAAAAUGACAACGUACCUUUUGCAUAAUGGGUCAGCGAGUUAGUUUAUAGAGCAAGAUGAAUAAUCUAAGCGAAAGCGACUGUAAUAAGUGGAUCAAAAAUAGUUUUAUGAACUAGACCCGAAGCCAAAUGAUCUUACCAUGACCAGGCUAAAAAAGGGCCGAACAGGUGAAUGUUGCAAAAUUCUCUGAUGAGUUGUGGUAAGGGGUGAAAGGCCAAUCUAAUUUGGAUGAUAGCUGGUAUUCUGCGAAACCUAUUUAGGUAGGGCCUUUAUUUACACUUUUAUAUGUACAGCACUGAUCAUCAUACAUUAGCUAGAUAUUUAUAUCACUAUGUUAAAUUGGGGGGUUUCACAACUCUACCAUUGAUGGUUAACCUCGGAAGGAUAAUAGUGAAUGAUAAAGGCACAGUCUAUUCAUGAUAAGGUGGAUAGACAAAAGGGAAACAGCCCAGAGCACGUGUUAAGGUCCCAAAAUAUUGUUAAGUGAAUAUAAGAAAGUUUAACUCCUAAUACAACCAUGAAGUAGGCUUGGAGGUAGCCAUCUUUUAAUGAUAGUGUAACAACUCAGUGGUCUAAUUUGAGGAGAGAAGCGUCGAAAAUUAACGGGUCUUAGACAAUAUACCUACACCGUGACUAUUUAUAAUAAUAUCUCUUUUAUUAUAAAUAAGGGUAGCAGAACACUCAGUAUCUGAUUGAAGGAAAAUGUUUCAUUUUCUGGACAGUACUGAAGAGAAAAUGCUGACAUGAGUAACGUAGAAAGGAGUUAAAACACUCCUCGCCGAAUACGAGAGGGUUUCAUGGAGAAGUUAAUCUGCCAUGAGUUAUGCGGACUCUAAGGAAAAUAGGCGAAUGUCUAUAUCUGAUGAGAACUACUUGAAUUACACUGAAUUAUCUAUAUAUAAUAAUUAUUUUAUUCAUUUGUAUGUAAAUUUGCAGAGUUAGAAUAAUUAGAUCAAGAAAAAUAAGUGUCACUAUAUAAAUAGUGAAUCCGUACCCUAAACCGACACAGGUUCGUAGGUAGAGAAUACUAAGGCGUAGAGAUAAUGCUUGUGAAGGAACUCGGCAAAUUGUGCCCGUAAGUUAGACGAUAAGGGUAACCAGAAUAAAUAAUUAUAUUAAAAAUUCUGAGUGUCACAAAAUCGAGGGCUGCGACUGUUUACCAAAAACACAGCAACUUGCUAAGACGAAUAGUACUUGUAUAAGUUGUGAACUCUGCCCAAUGCCAUGUCGUGUAAAGAAGGUGAUCUAUUUAUUAAUUUCUAAUAAUAGAGUCACUAACUGAUGCCAUGGUGAAUGGCGGUCUUAACUAUAAGGAUCUGAAAGUAGCGAAAUUCCUUGGCCAUUAAAUGUGGUCCUGCAUGAAUGAGGUAACGUGGCCCUGCUGUCUCCACAAGCAUCUCAGUGAAAUUGAAUUAGCCGUGCAGAUGCGGUUUACCUUCAGUUAGACGGGAAGACCCUAUGCAGCUUUACUGUAACUUGAUAUUGUUUCUUCUAUAGCUAGGUGUAGUAUACAAGGGAGUAAAUAUUUUUUACAUCAGUGAAAUACCUUGACUAGUCUAAAGAAGAAACUUACCUGUAAUUUUCUAGUAGUACUACAUCUUAUAAAAAAGGAUCUUCAAUUUACAUUUAUAAGAUAGUCUUCUAUAAAUAAAAUUUUUAAUUUGAAUAGAGAUAUAGAAUAUUUUUAUUUUCAUAGAGUUAUUCUAUGGCUAUAUUAUAAGAACUUUGAGUAGUUUAAUAGCUAUUCUAUAAAGUCUUCUAUGAUAUUUAUAGGAACAAUUUUUUUUUUAAUUUACUAAAUUAAAAAUCAUAGGAAAAUUGUUCUAUAAGAUGUCAGGAAAUGAUUAAAUGGGAAAAUAUCAGGUGGUCAGUUUGACUGGGACGGUAGCCUCUAAUAAAGUAUCAGAGGCCUUCAAAGGUAUGCAUAUAUUGGUCAGAAACCAAUGAACUAUGUAAAGUUUAUUAAAGCGUAAUAGUGUAAGCAUGCUUGACUGAAAGACUGAUAGGUCAAUCAGAUACGCAAGUAGGAUAUAGUGAUCCGGUGAUUCAUAAUGGAAUGGUCAUCGCUCAAGAAAUAAAAGUUACGCUAGGGAUAACAGGUUUAUCGUUUGCGAGAGUUCAUAUUGUCCAAACGGUUUGACACCUCGAUGUCGACUCAUCUCAUCCUCCAGGUGCAGUAGCUUGGAAGGGUUCAGCUGUUCGCUGAUUAAAGAGGUACGCGAGUUGGGUUCAAUACGACGUGAAAUUAAAAAUAAAUUAUUGAUCUCCCAACCAUAACGCAUUAGGUUAAUUCAAAUAAAAGUUUAUUUAGCAGCAGCAAAUAUAGUAAAUAUAUAAAAAUUGAAAUUUACAUAAUGACAACAGCACUAAUCAAAAUUAUGAAGCGAAUUCAUUUCAAUUCUUUUAACUUUUUUAUUCCAAUUACAACUAUUACUAAAUAUCCUAUCUUUAUAAAAUCUCUAAUUCAACGAAUUAAAGAUAUCCAAGAACGUUAUUCACUAUCUAAAAAUAUUCUUAUUUAUGAUCUAAAUACAGAUAAAACUAAAGCUCAAUUUGAACUUAGCAAUAAAGGCGGUGUUUAUGUACUUUGGUGUAAAAGUACUGGUAUGUUUUAUGUAGGUUCUGCUCUUCGAUUCUUUACUAAUAAAGGUCGACUAACAGAUUACUUCAUGCUAGGACGUGUUAAAGCUAGUCUAGAAGGUAAUAGUACAAAAGUAAGUAAAGAUCUAGCAUUUGCUAUUUCUACUUAUGGAAUUGAAAAUUUUACACUACUAGUUCCUCAACUAGAAGUUUCUAACAAACUUGAUAAAUCAAUCAUUCAAAACUGGGAACAGCUAUGGAUGAUGCUUAAUCCAACACUAAAUCGUAGUCUUAUGGUAUCAAGUAAUAGUGGAAGUAUAAUGUCUGAAGAGAAUCGAAUGAAAAUCAGCACUAUGUUUUAUCAAUAUGAAAUUGAUAGAGAUAAUGCUAUUAUUCCUAAUACUGAAAAGAUUCUAUUUGGACUUAAGGAAACUAGUCGAAUUGGGAUCACUAGUGCUAAUAAUAAACACUAUUCAAUUCAGUAUGAUACUCUAAAAGGACAUUAUGAGAAAAAAAUGAUUUGGACUACAUCAGGACAUAAAUUUUACUUUACAGAUGAACCUCUUACAGAUGGUUUUAUUCUAAAUCCUGUAACUGGUAACACAGAACUUACAAAUAACCGAUCUCGUGGUAUUUGGGUUUAUGAUGCCAACACUAAAGAACUUCUUAGUUAUGAGAAAAAUGUAAAAGAAUGUGAACUGAAAUACAAUAUUAGUCGUACUCAUCUAAAACGAGUACGUAAAUAUAAUCAAGUCUACCAAGGUAAACUAUUCAGUAAUAAUAAACUGUAAUUAAAUCCCCCUUAAUGUUUGCACAUAAAUAAACAAAAUAAAAAUAAACAUAAGAUAAGACUCGCGUCGUAAGGAAACUGUAUGCUGGAACACCUUUAUAGUUCUUAGUACUAGAAAUUAUUCAGUAAAAAUCUAAGAAAUUAGGCAAUCAGCAGGAAACCAAAGUUAAGUAUAUUAACAAGUAGGAUCCUCAGAGACUAUGUGUUUCCAUCUUAAGAAUAAUAAGAUAAGAUAUAGUCCGAACUAAUUAGAGAUAAUUAGAAGUAAUAUUCUGAAUAUUACGAUAACAUUCAAAUAGGCCAUACCAUAAGUAUUCUAUAAAUUAGAGUAUUUAUGUAUUAGGAGUCAGUAUGGUCCCUAUCUUCUGAAGGAAAAAGUAAUCGAUUAAGGACCUCCGGUUAGUACGAAAGGACCGCUGGGGAUGAUUCCAUGGUGUACCUAUUGUUACGUCUUUAGAUAUAGCACCGUAGGGUAGCCACAAUCAUGACAGAUAAGCGCUGAAAGCAUCUUAAGCACGAAGCACACCUUAUUAGAUUACAAGAAAUAGGAAGAAGACUACUUCUUUGUAUUUUACUUAUUAUUUUUAUAGUUUAUAAACUAUCUAUAUAAUUCUAUGUAAAUACAUAUAGGGUGCAAAUGUAAGUAUAGU
rnacentral:rRNA from 1 species